rnacentral:ncRNA from 1 species
GAGAGCACAGUACGAUGAAAUUUGUGAGCUGUGUUCGGGGGCGAGUUAUUGUCUAUCGUUGCCUCUAUGGUAGAAUCAGUCAGGGAGGCCUGAGAGACGGUGAUUUACCCUGU